AGUGAAGCGGGAAGAGCUCAAAUUUGAAAUCUGGUAGCCUUCGGUUGCCCGAGUUGUAAUCUAGAGAAGUGUUUUCCGUGCCGGCCCAUGUACAAGUCCCUUGGAACAGGGCGUCAUAGAGGGUGAGAAUCCCGUCCUUGACAUGGACCCCCGGUGCUUUGUGAUACACUUUCAACGAGUCGAGUUGUUUGGGAAUGCAGCUCAAAAUGGGUGGUGAAUUCCAUCUAAAGCUAAAUAUUGGCGAGAGACCGAUAGCGAACAAGUACCGUGAGGGAAAGAUGAAAAGCACUUUGGAAAGAGAGUUAAACAGUACGUGAAAUUGUUGAAAGGGAAACGAUUGAAGUCAGUCAUGCUCUUAGGAUUCAGCCGUUCUGCGGUGUAUUUCCUUUGAGUGGGGUCAACAUCAGUUUUGAUCGAUGGAUAAAGGCACGAGGAAGGUAGCACUCUCGGGUGAACUUAUAGCCUCGCGUCAUAUACAUUGAUUGGGACUGAGGAACGCAGCAUGCCUUUAUGG
rnacentral:rRNA from 1 species